CUCGACCCAAAGAGAUCCCCUCGCUCUCACACACCCAGUGAUGCUGGCCAUCUCCCCUGUCACACCCCGCCAAUGGCAUCCAUCCCCUCCCUCGCCGUCUCCGGCGCCGCCACCGCCGUCCCAGCCGUCGUCGCUGCCAAGCCCCUGCCCAGCUCCGCCGGCUUCGACAAGGGCGGUUCUUAUCAGAGGAGCACCCAAGCAGCGGAAAAUGGCAGAUUGGAGAGUGAGAGCCCCCCUCGUCCGCUAGACGCCCAGGAAGCAAUGAGCAUGCUGAAGGACGGCCGGACUGUGCAGUCGGCGAUGUACGUGCCCCUGCUGCACCGGUGCGUCGAGACCAGAGGCCUCGGCGCCGCCAGGGCCCUGCACGGCCACAUGGCGAAGACCGGAACCGUCGCGGACAUGUUCGUGGCGACGUCCCUGGUAAACGUGUACAUGAGGUGCGGGGCGAGCCGGGACGCGCGCAGCCUGUUCGACGAAAUGCCCGAGAAGAACGUGGUCACCUGGACGGCGCUGAUUACAGGAUAUACUCUGAACUCUGAAGCGGUGCUGGCGCUGGAGGUGUUCGUCGAGAUGCUCGAGCUUGGGAGGUACCCGUCGCAUUACACGCUGGGCGGCAUGCUGAACGCGUGCUCUGCCGCGCGCAGGAUCGAUCUGGGCCAGCAGGUCCAUGGCUACUCGAUCAAGUAUGGGGCUGAUACCAUCACGAGCAUGGGCAAUUCACUUUGUAGGAUGUACUGCAAGUCUGGAGACUUACAAUCUGGUCUGAGGGCCUUUAAGGGGACCCCUGACAAGAAUGUGAUCACCUGGACGACGAUGAUAUCGUCCUGCGCCGAAGACGAGAACUACCUCGAGCUUGGGCUGAGCUUGUUUCUCGAUAUGCUCAAGGGAGGGGUGACGCCGAAUGAGUUCACGUUGACCAGUGUCAUGAGCUUGUGUGGCGCGAGGCUGGAUAUGAAUCUCGGCAAGCAGGUCCAGGCUUUCUGCUACAAGGUUGGGUGUGAAGCGAAUCUUCCAGUGAAGAACUCCACAAUGUACCUCUAUCUCAGGAAGGGCGAAACGGACGAGGCUAUGCGGUUGUUUGAAGAGAUGGACAGCAGCAGUAUUAUCACGUGGAAUGUAAUGAUCUCCGGGUAUGCUCAAAUCAUGGACUCGGCAAAGGAUGACCUCCAUGCUCGUUCCAGAGGGUUCCAGGCACUCAAAUUGUUCCGUGAUCUCGUGAGGUCUGAAUUGAAGCCUGAUCUGUUCACCUUCUCAAGCAUCCUGUCAGUCUGCAGCGCCAUGAUGGCCUUGGAGCAGGGUGAGCAAAUCCACGCAACCACCAUAAAGACUGGAUGUCUGUCGGAUGUUGUUGUGAACAGCGCACUGGUAAACAUGUAUAACAAGUGCGGAUGCAUCGAGUGUGGGACCAAAGCCUUCGUCGAGAUGCCAACACGGACACCUGUCACUUGGACCUCUAUGAUUUCAGGGUACUCGCAGCAUGGCAGGUCCCGAGAUGCGAUACAGCUCUUUGAGGACAUGAUAUUAUCUGGCGCCAAACCAAACGAAAUCACAUUCGUAAGUUUGCUGUCAGCCUGCAGCUAUGCUGGUUUAGUAGAGGAGGCUGAGCGCUACUUUGACAUGAUGCGGAAUGAGUAUCAUAUAGAGCCUCUUGUGGACCAUUACGGGUGCAUGGUUGACAUGUUCGUGCGAUUGGGCCGGCUGGAUGAUGCAUUUUCCUUCAUCAAGAGAACAGGCUUUGAGCCGAAUGAGGCCAUCUGGUCUAGUUUGGUAGCUGGAUGUCGGAGUCACGGGAACAUGGAGCUUGCUUUCUACGCUGCUGAUAGGCUCCUUGAGCUCAAGCCGAAAGUGAUUGAAACAUAUGUCUUGCUGUUGAACAUGUACGUGUCUACUGGUAGAUGGCGUGACGUCGCUAGGGUGCGGAAACUGGCCAAACAUGAAGAUGUCGGGUUUCUCAGAGACCGUAGCUGGAUUGCAAUCAGAGACAAGGUGUAUUUCUUUAGAGCUGAUGACAUGACUCACCCUCAAGCUACCGAGUUGUAUCAAUUGUUGGAGAAUUUGCUGGAAAAGGCUAAGGCUGUAGGGUACGAACCGUACCAGAAUGCUCCUGAGUUGUUAUCUGACAGCACGGAGGGCGAUGACGACAGGCCUGCUGCUGCUGCAGGUUCACUAAUAAAGCACCACAGUGAGAGGUUAGCUGUUGCACUGGGGCUGCUCAAAACACCUCCUGGUGCGACAGUCCGUGUGACCAAGAACAUCACCAUGUGCAGGGACUGCCACAGCUCUAUCAAAUACUUCUCAUUACUUGCAAACAGAGAGAUUGUUGUCCGGGACAGUAAACGGCUUCACAAGUUCAAGGAUGGUCGGUGCUCCUGUGGGGAUUUUGGUGCGCUCCUCCUGUGAUGCCGAAAAAUCUCAUGCGCACUGCGCUAUUCUAUUCUGAGAACAUGACAAUUUUUGCAUUGGAAACAGGUUUGACUUACUCUGAAGAACUUGUUUACUGCAAGUCUCGUAGCACUUGGUCCUCUCUCUUCCUUCCGGCGGGAAAGAAGAAAAAUAGGGCUCGAUUCCGGUUGGGUAACGAAAAGGCUCUUCGAUCCGGCAGCUGCCCACACCGCCGUUCCCUGUCCUUAAGUUCCGGUGCUUUUCCCUGCCGGAAGGAUGGGAGGAAAGGUAUGGGAAUGCAGCAGCAGCAGCAGGAGGAGUUGGCGGAGGGCGGCGUCGGGAAGAGGACGAAGGUUGCGGCGGCGUUGGGAAGGGAGGAAGGUAUUGUCACCAUGAACCUUGGCAUUCUUGACUGCCCCGUCUGCUUCCAUCCCCUGCACCCCCCAUCUUCCAGUAGGGGGGUAGGGUGGUUUGUAUGAAAAUUGGCUUCAACCACUUUGAUGGCAUAUGUACAAUCCGUCAGGUCUGGUCAGAAGUUCAGAACAGCAUCAGAAUUUCAUCUCCGUUCCUCAAUGCACUGUUGGGCAUGCUAUAUGUUCAUCUUGCCACGAGAAGCUCCCUGACAAGUGCCACUGCUGCGCCAUUCCCAGUCUACAAUCGCUCCUACAUGGUAGAACAUGUCACUGAAUCCAUCAAAGUUGAUCGAGGUCCACAACUCCGCAUCUAACUGGGACCAACCGUCCGGGCGGGCGAAGUUGAGGAGCUUGUUACUUGUUAACAUGAUGGAGGUGCCCCUUGGCAGUGUCAGCCUCGCAUUGAUGGAUCCAAGUUCAGAUGCAGGCUGGCAUUGUCAUGCCCUGGAGUGUUAUAUCAGGAUACAGUAUUACCACUGCCCAUGUAGCAUUGCUUUUGACAGGCAAGUCGAAGAGUCCCGGGAGAUGAGCGUUAGUGAGCUUGGUCCUGCUGGUGAUCCCGCGCGGCUUCUUCCUGGCCUUCUCCGGCUCUGGUUGCCGGCCGUGGAUCUGCUCAGCGGCGUGUCUCUUGGCUGUGUCGGUGGCCGGCUUCUCGCCGUUCUUGCGGAGCUCCUUCUCGAUGUCCAGCAUGUCUACCGGCAGUUUGAUGUCGUGGAACAUCUUCUUGAGCUCGGCGUCCACCUCCAUCCUCGACCUCGGGUCGUUGGGGGGACUACAAGGCCAACACACUACCAUGUGCUCCACGAUGAGAUAGGCUUCUCCCCGAUGAGCUGCAGGAGCUCGUGCACAGCCUCCCCUAUGUACUCCCUCCAUCCGAAAAAGUUUGUCCCUCAAAUGGAUGUAUCUAAGCACCAAGUUAGUGCUAGAUACAUUCAUUUGAGGAACAAUGGUGUUAGAUACAUCCAUUUGAGAAACAAGUUUUGGGCAAGUUUUUUUUGAACGGAUGGAGUAUCAGGUAAGCAAUGUUUUGCCACUAGUUGAUUCCACAACGUAGGUGAAAGUGAAACAGGACGGCGUAUCAGGGUCAGAUUACCUGACAAACUAUUGUUUUUGAGGGGAGAUUACCUAACAAACCACGAGUAAUUCACUAGGUAGGUUCAAGUGUUACCGGAAUCGAGGGAUUCAAAUGGCGGCUGGGAACUGGGGUAGGGUGCUAGCACCUAGCUGCUGCAAAUGCACUGUUCAAGUGUUCGGUAAGUUCAGAACAAACAGGUGUCUACAUUCUUCAGUUAUCCAACGGUCGUUUUCGGUGCGGGUAACGCCCCUGCGCUCCAACGGGCCAGACACGAUCCAAUCACUAUUUUCUGUUUAGUCCUUGUUGAAGGCUCAACGGAACUCU